UACAGAGGUCUCAAGCGUUGUUCGGAUUCAUUGGGCGUAAAGGGUGCGUAGGCGGCGCGGUAAGUCGGGUGUGAAAUCUCGGAGCUUAACUUCGAAACUGCAUUCGAUACUGCUGUGCUUGAGGACUGGAGAGGAGACUGGAAUUUACGGUGUAGCAGUGAAAUGCGUAGAGAUCGUAAGGAAGACCAGUGGCGAAGGCGGGUCUCUGGACAGUUCCUGACACUGAGGCACGAAGGCCAGGGGAGCAAACGGG
rnacentral:rRNA from 1 species